AAGGCUUUAGCUUAAUUAAAGUGUCUGUUUUGCAUACAGGUGAUGUGGGUUAGUAUCCUGCAAGUCUUA
rnacentral:tRNA from 4 species